CUCAGAAGGAACCUUUACGACUCCUAAUGAAAUGCUGCAGAGAGGAGCUGAAAUUAAGUCAGCAGAGUUCACGAUUUGUCUUGGAGCAGAGCCUAAUUCAGUUUAUAAUGCAAGGUCUAUGCUGGAGUCCCAGCAUCAGCCUCCUGUGGCCAGUGGGGUGCUUGCAUUCCUGAAACGAAACACUAUGACAGUUCUGUACACCGGCUAACAUCAUCCCCAGUGACCUCCAUAAUGGAAGAGAAAUUCAAGAACAUUAUUUUCUGGACAUUGGUUCUGAUCGAGGACAAGACAAACUGUAGACUGCCUUUCCAGCAAGCUUUGUUUCUCUGCUGGGAAUUCAGUAGGGAAGACAAAAGCCCAAUGGUUGUCACUGACAGUUUACCCAAGCGUUUUAAAGUGCAUCACAAACAACUGUGCUCUCUUCAUGAGCAGUAUGCUUUUGCUGUGUGAAGUUCAGUGGACAUUUGAAAGGAUGCAACUUAUAAUCUUUAAAUUAUUUUACAACUAUGAUGAGUGAGGCUUGUGGUGAUAGACAGGAUUUAUA